rnacentral:rRNA from 1 species
UGAGGAAUAUUGCGCAAUGGGGGCAACCCUGACGCAGCAACGCCGCGUGCGGGACGACGGCCUUCGGGUUGUAAACCGCUUUCAGCAGGGAAGAUAGUGACGGUACCUGCACAAGAAGCCCCGGCUAACUACGUGCCAGCAGCCGCGGUAAUACGUAGGGGGCGAGCGUUAUCCGGAUUCAUUGGGCGUAAAGCGCGCGCAGGCGGCUCUUCAAGCGGAACCUCUAACCCCGGGGCUCAACCUCGGGCCGGGUUCCGAACUGGAGGGCUCGAGUGCGGUAGAGGCAGGCGGAAUUCCCGGUGUAGCGGUGGAAUGCGCAGAUAUCGGGAAGAACACCGAUGGCGAAGGCAGCCUGCUGGGCCGGCACUGACGCUGAGGCGCGAAAGCUAGGGGAGCGAACAGG